CGUAGGGAAACCGAGUCUUAACUGGGCGUUCAGUCUCUGGAUAUAGACCCGAAACCAGGUGAUCUAGCCAUGGGCAGGUUGAAGGUUGAGUAACAUCAACUGGAGGACCGAACCGACUAAUGUUGAAAAAUUAGCGGAUGACUUGUGGCUAGGGGUGAAAGGCCAAUCAAACCUGGAGAUAGCUGGUUCUCCCCGAAAGCUAUUUAGGUAGCGCCUCGGACGAAUACUACUGGGGGUAGAGCACUGUUAAGGCUAGGGGGUCAUCCCGACUUACCAACCCUUUGCAAACUCCGAAUACCAGUAAGUACUAUCCGGGAGACACACGGCGGGUGCUAACGUCCGUCGUGGAGAGGGAAACAACCCAGACCGCCAGCUAAGGUCCCAAAUUACUACUAAGUGGGAAACGAUGUGGGAAGGCUCAGACAGCCAGGAUGUUGGCUUAGAAGCAGCCAUCAUUUAAAGAAAGCGUAAUAGCUCACUGGUCGAGUCGGCCUGCGCGGAAGAUGUAACGGGGCUAAGUAGUAAACCGAAGCUGCGGCAAUGUGCUUUUGCACAUUGGGUAGGGGAGCGUUCUGUAAGCGGUUGAAGGUGUGUGGUAACGCAUGCUGGACGUAUCAGAAGUGCGAAUGCUGACAUGAGUAACGAUAAAGGGGGUGACCCCUAAGGCGAGGCCGAAAGGCGUAGUCGAUGGGAAACGGGUUAAUAUUCCCGUACUUCUUACAAUUGCGAUGGGGGGACGGAGAAGGCUAGGUGGGCCUGGCGACGGUUGUCCAGGUUCAAGUGCGUAGGCUUAAGAGUUAGGUAAAUCCGGCUCUUUUUAAGGCUGAGACACGACGUCGAGCAUCUACGGAUGUGAAGUCAUUGAUGCCAUGCUUCCAGGAAAAGCCUCUAAGCUUCAGAUUGUAAGGAAUCGUACCCCAAACCGACACAGGUGGUCGGGUAGAGAAUACCAAGGCGCUUGAGAGAACUCGGGUGAAGGAACUAGGCAAAAUGGUACCGUAACUUCGGGAGAAGGUACGCUCUCGACGGUGAAGUCCCUCGCGGAUGGAGCUAUUGAGAGUCGCAGAUACCAGGUGGCUGCAACUGUUUAUUAAAAACACAGCACUGUGCAAAAUCGUAAGAUGACGUAUACGGUGUGACGCCUGCCCGGUGCCGGAAGGUUAAUUGAUGGGGUUAGACUUCGGUCGAAGCUCUUGAUCGAAGCCCCGGUAAACGGCGGCCGUAACUAUAACGGUCCUAAGGUAGCGAAAUUCCUUGUCGGGUAAGUUCCGACCUGCACGAAUGGCGUAAUGAUGGCCACGCUGUCUCCACCCGAGACUCAGUGAAAUUGAAAUCGCUGUGAAGAUGCAGUGUACCCGCGGCUAGACGGAAAGACCCCGUGAACCUUUACUACAGCUUGGCACUGAACAUUGACCCUACAUGUGUAGGAUAGGUGGGAGGCUUUGAAGCACGUACGCCAGUAUGUGUGGAGCCGUCCUUGAAAUACCACCCUUGUAGUGUUGAUGUUCUAACGUCGACCCCUUAUCGGGGUUGCGGACAGUGCCUGGUGGGUAGUUUGACUGGGGCGGUCUCCUCCCAAAGAGUAACGGAGGAGCACGAAGGUGGGCUAAUCACGGUUGGACAUCGUGAGGUUAGUGCAAUGGCAUAAGCCCGCUUGACUGCGAGAAUGACAAUUCGAGCAGGUGCGAAAGCAGGUCAUAGUGAUCCGGUGGUUCUGAAUGGAAGGGCCAUCGCUCAACGGAUAAAAGGUACUCCGGGGAUAACAGGCUGAUACCGCCCAAGAGUUCAUAUCGACGGCGGUGUUUGGCACCUCGAUGUCGGCUCAUCACAUCCUGGGGCUGAAGUCGGUCCCAAGGGUAUGGCUGUUCGCCAUUUAAAGUGGUACGCGAGCUGGGUUUAGAACGUCGUGAGACAGUUCGGUCCCUAUCUGCCGUGGGCGUUGGAAGAUUGAAGGGGGCUGCUCCUAGUACGAGAGGACCGGAGUGGACGAACCUCUGGUGUUCGGGUUGUGUCGCCAGACGCAUUGCCCGGUAGCUAAGUUCGGAAUCGAUAACCGCUGAAAGCAUCUAAGCGGGAAGCGAGCCCUGAGAUGAGUCUUCCCUGAUACUUUAAGUAUCCUAAAGGGUUGUCGGAGACUACGACGUUGAUAGGUCAGGUGUGUAAGUGCUGUGAGGCAUUGAGCUAACUGAUACUAAUUGCCCGUGAGGCUUAACCAUACAACACC
rnacentral:rRNA from 1 species